rnacentral:rRNA from 1 species
CAGUAGCCGCGGGAAUACAGAGGGUGCGAGCGUUAAUCGGAUUUACUGGGCGUAAAGCGUGCGUAGGCGGCUUUUUAAGUCGGAUGUGAAAUCCCUGAGCUUUACUUAGGAAUUGCAUUCGAUACUGGGAAGCUAGAGUAUGGGAGAGGAUGGUAGAAUUCCAGGUGUAGCGGUGAAAUGCGUAGAGAUCUGGAGGAAUACCGAUGGCGAAGGCAGCCAUCUGGCCUAAUACUGACGCUGAGGUACGAAAGCAUGGGGAGCAAACAGGAUUAGAUACCCGGGUAGUCCCUGUCUCUUAUAC